rnacentral:miRNA from 1 species
UGGUAGAAUUCAGAUGAGAUCA